UGGGGAAUAUUGCACAAUGGGCGAAAGCCUGAUGCAGCGACGCCGCGUGAGGGAUGACGGCCUUCGGGUUGUAAACCUCUUUCAGUAGGGACGAAGCGCAAGUGACGGUACCUGCAGAAGAAGCACCGGCUAACUACGUGCCAGCAGCCGCGGUAAUACGUAGGGUGCGAGCGUUGUCCGGAAUUACUGGGCGUAAAGAGCUCGUAGGCGGUUUGUCACGUCGUCUGUGAAAUCCUAGGGCUUAACCCUGGACGUGCAGGCGAUACGGGCUGACUUGAGUACUACAGGGGAGACUGGAAUUUCUUGUGUAGCGGUGGAAUGCACAGAUAUCAGGAAGAACACCGAUGGCGAAGGCAGGGCUCUGGGUAGUAACUGACGCUGAGGAGCGAAAGCAUGGGUAGCGAACAGG
rnacentral:rRNA from 1 species